rnacentral:rRNA from 1 species
AAUAUUGGACAAUGGGCGAAAGCCUGAUCCAGCCAUGCCGCGGGUGUGAAGAAGGUCUUCGGAUUGUAAAGCACGUUAUGUUGGGAGGAAGGGCAGUAAGUUAAUACCUGUCUGUUUAGACGUGACCGACAGAAGAAGCACCGGACAACUACGUGCCAGUAGCCGCGGUAAUUCGGAAGGUGCAAGCGUUAAUCGGAACUACUGGGCGUAAAGCGCGAGUAGGUGGUUUGUUAAGUUGUAAGUGAAAGCCCCGGGCUCAACCUGGGAACUGCUUUCAAAACUGGCAAGCUAGAGUAUUGCAGAGGGUGGUGGAAUUUCCUGUGUAGCGGUGAAAUGCGUAGAUAUAGGAAGGAACACCAGUGGCGAAGGCGACCACCUGGGCUAAUACUGACACUGAGGUGCGAAAGCGUGGGGAGCAAACAGG